rnacentral:tRNA from 1 species
AUUUAUAUAGUUUAAAUAAAACAUUACAUUUUCACUGUAAAAAUAAUAUUAAAUAUUUAUAAAUA